AGCUUUUGACAUGUCCUGGACGGAUUGCAGAGAUGCGAUCUUCCCUUCGGGGCCGGGAACACAGGUGCUGCAUGGCUGUCGUCAGCUCGUGUCGUGAGAUGUUGGGUUAAGUCCCGCAACGAGCGCAACCCUCGCCCUUAGUUGCCAUCAUUCAGUUGGGCACUCCAGGGGGACUGCCGGUGAUAAGCCGGAGGAAGGUGGGGAUGACGUCAAGUCCUCAUGGCCCUUACAGGCUGGGCUACACACGUGCUACAAUGGCGGUGACAACGGGAGGCGAAGGGGCGACCCUGAGCAAAUCUCGAAAAGCCGUCUCAGUUCGGAUUGCACUCUGCAACUCGAGUGCAUGAAGUUGGAAUCGCUAGUAAUCGCGGAUCAGCACGCCGCGGUGAAUACGUUCCCGGGCC
rnacentral:rRNA from 1 species